UAAAAGCCUACCAAGCCUAAGAUCCUUAGCUGUUCUGAGAGGUUGAACAGCCACACUGGGACUGAGACAAGGCCCAGGCUCCAUUUGGAGCCAGCAGUGAGGAAUUUUGGACAAUGAGCGAAGGCUUGAUCCAGCAAUACUACAUGAGUGAAGAAGGCUUUCAAGUUGUAACACUCUUUGGUUGAGGAGGAUAAUGACAGUACUCAACAAAAUAGCCCCGGCUAACUUCGUGCCAGCAGCCGCGGUAAGACGAAGGGGGCGAGCGUUAUCCGGAAUGACUGGGCGUAAAGGGUCCGUAGGCAGCAUUUUUUGUUGGAAGUUAAAUAAAAAAGCUUAACUUUUUUCCGCUUCUAAAACGUAAAUGCUUUGAGUUUGAUAGAAGAUAGCAGAAUUUCACAAGGAGGGGUGAUAUCCAGAGAUCUGUGAAGGAAUAUCAGAUGCGAAGGCGGCUAUCUAGAUCAACACUGACGUUGAGGGACGAAAGCAUGGGGAGCAAACAGGAUUAGAUACCCUGGUAGUCCAUGCCCUAAAAGAUGAGUGUUCGUGCUUAGAGAACUUUAGGCACUUAGUUAACACGUUAAACACUCCGCCUGGGGAGUACGAUCGCAAGGUUGGAACUCAAAGGAAUUGACGGGGGCCUAUACAAGUGGUGGAGCAUGUGGUUUAAUGCGAUAAUACGCGCGAAACCUUACCAGUUCUUGACAUAAAAAAGAAAAAGUUUGAAAAAGCAAUUUUAAAGAUUUUUACAGGUGCUGCAUGGCUGUCGUAAGCUCGUGUCGUGAGAUGUUAGGUUAACUCCUUUUAACGGGCGAAACCCCUUUUUUUCGUUGCUACUUAAUUUUAUUUUUAAAGCACUCUAAAAAAACUGCUCCCUUUUUUUAAUUCGGAGAGGAAGGUGGGGAUGACGUCAAGUCCUUGUGGCCCUUAUGAACUGGGCUACACACGUGCUACAAUGGUAAAGACAAUAAGAAGUGAUAGGGUAACCUAAAACCAAUCUUUAAACUUUAUCAAAGUUCGGAUUGUGGACUGCAACUCGUCCAUAUGAAGGUGGAAUCACUAGUAAUCGCACAUCAGCAUGUUGCGGUGAAUUUGUACCUAGGCCUUGUACACACCGCCCGUCACGUGCCGGGAGUUGGC
rnacentral:rRNA from 1 species